GUGAGACAGGUGCUGCAUGGCUGUCGCCAGCUCGUGUUGUGAAAUGUUGGGUUAAGUCCCGCAACGAGCGCAACCCUUAUCCUUUGUUGCCAGCGGUCCGGCCGGGAACUCAAAGGAGACUGCCAGUGAUAAACUGGAGGAAGGUGGGGAUGACGUCAAGUCAUCAUGGCCCUUACGACCAGGGCUACACACGUGCUACAAUGGCGCAUACAAAGAGAAGCGACCCCGCGAGAGCAAGCGGACCUCAUAAAGUGCGUCGUAGUCCGGAUUGGAGUCUGCAACUCGACUCCAUGAAGUCGGAAUCGCUAGUAAUCGUGGAUCAGAAUGCCACGGUGAAUACGUUCCCGGGCCUUGUACACACCGCCCGUCACACCAUGGGAGUGGGUUGCAAAAGAAGUAGGUAGCUUAACCUUCGGGAGGGCGCUUACCACUUUGUGAUUCAUGACUGGGGUGAAGUCGUAACAAGGUAACCGUAGGGGAACCUGCGGCUGGAUCACCUC
rnacentral:rRNA from 1 species